GACGAACGCUGGCGGCGUGCUUAACACAUGCAAGUCGAGCGAGAGAAUCUGGUGCUUGCACCAGAGGAUCUAGCGGCGGACGGGUGAGUAACACGUGGGCAACCUGCCCUAAGGAGGGGAAUAACAGGCCGAAAGGUCUGCUAAUACCGCAUAAGACCAUAGCUUCGCAUGGAGCAGUGGUUAAAGAUUUAUCGCCUUAGGAUGGGGCCCGCGGCGCAUUAGCUAGUUGGUAAGGUAACGGCUUACCAAGGCGACGAUGCGUAGCCGACCUGAGAGGGUGAUCGGCCACAUUGGGACUGAGACACGGCCCAGACUCCUACGGGAGGCUG
rnacentral:rRNA from 1 species